UACGGAGGGUGCAAACGUUGCUCGGAAUCAUUGGGCGUAAAGCGCACGUAGGCGGUCCAGCAAGUCGGGUGUGAAAGCCCUCGGCUUAACCGGGGAAGUGCAUUCGAAACUACUGGGCUUGAGUACUGAAGAGGAUCGCGGAAUUCCCGGUGUAGAGGUGAAAUUCGUAGAUAUCGGGAGGAACACCAGUGGCGAAGGCGGCGAUCUGGGCAGAUACUGACGCUGAUGUGCGAAAGCGUGGGGAGCAAACAGG
rnacentral:rRNA from 1 species